UACGUAGGGGGCAAGCGUUGUCCGGAUUCAUUGGGCGUAAAGAACGUGUAGGCGGCCAGAUAGGUCAGCUGUGAAAACUCGAGGCUCAACCUCGAGAUGUCGGCUGAAACCAUCUGGCUAGAGUCCGGAAGAGGAGAAUGGAAUUCCCGGUGUAGCGGUGAAAUGCGCAGAUAUCGGGAGGAACACCAAUGGCGAAGGCAGCUCGCUGGGACGUGACUGACGCUGAGACACGAAAGCGUGGGGAGCAAACGGGG
rnacentral:rRNA from 1 species